AAUGUAAAUUGCCAAAGUAUAUAUAUAAGCAAAGGAUCAUUUUCUAUGUUUGGUUUUAUUCCAUCCAUUCUUGAAAGAUUUUUUUGGGAUAAUUUAUUCGGUGAGGGAAUUUGAAAAUGAACAUAUAUAUGUUAAUUUGGAUGGUUUGUUGUAUAGGUUGUUAUGAUAUAGUAUAAAUUAUACUCAAUGAGUAAAGCAUUUUCUAUUGUUGAUGUCGAAAUAAUGGAGGAACUUUUUUUUUUUUUUCAAGACAAUUCUGCAGAGUUGAUUUGUUGUGGUUGGCAAUAAGAUGUAUAGUCAUGUGAUAUUUAAAUUUCUUUAUUUUUUUAC
rnacentral:lncRNA from 1 species